AUUUAAAAAAAAAAUUAGAGAUGGAGUCUCACUGUCUUGCCCAGGCUGGUCUCAAACUCCUAGGCUCAAGCGAUCCUCCCGCCUCUACUAAUAUGAAUUAUUAGCCUAUACUAAUAUGAAUUCCUAUACUAAUAUGAUUGAAAUUAGUUUGACUUGUAUAAUAAUUGUUCUCCCAGAUUGGGCUUCUGUUUUGAUAGUAGAACUAAAUUAUUAGGCUAUUUCAAGAAAUUAAUAUAUUACUGGUAGAAAAACUGAAGCUACAAAAUGGCCUGGUUUCUCACUUCAGUUAAAUUUGUGCUUCUGAGUGCUUGUAUUGUAGGUGAAACCGCACUGAGAAGGUAUUUGUGGCCCGUAUGCUGAUUGAUUGAUGAGACUUCUUUGCACAGGAGAGCUGCUAAAAAUUAUUACGGUGAACAGGUAUGAAGAAGACUGUUCUCUGCCCUUCUUUUUGCAAUAAAAUGUUACAAACUA
rnacentral:lncRNA from 10 species